CCUAAAGCCUCGCCUCUUUUUCUUCUUCUUCUAUCUUCGUCGCCAUUGAACGUUUUCUGACUUUUCCACUUCUUCUUCCAUCAUAAUCUCCCAUUCCCAUUAACUCAAACCAUUAUUUCAUUCAUCAAAACAAAAACAGCUUAACUCACAUCACCCUUCCACUUCCCUAUCUCACUCUAUAUAAGACGAUGUCGUCAUAUGAAACCUUCACACUGCUCAAACCACCUUAAGCUACAUUGGCGAACACAUAUUCUUUCAGUUCCACAGUUACAUGUGUAGACUCUUAUAUUGCAAGAGAAGCGGCUGGUUCGUUUUCCCCAGAGCUCAGGUCUCUGAUCGUAUCCUUCUGAUCCAAAUUGUUGCAAGAUGCAGCACCUACCUAAGCAUUCCGAUUUCUCUGACCUUUUUAUCAGUCUAAUCUCUUAAAAUGGAUAUUUUCAUUUGUUUGAAUUAUUUGAGACCUUUGUUAGACAUGUUCACUUUUCUUUGGCAGUUACAAAAGCCAAGUUCUACUACAUUGCUGCAAACACCAAGGUAAACGGAGGCUGAGCUAUGAUCCUUCACUACAACCAAGUUCAUUGAUACUGCUCACAUAUAUGGCAGUGUCCAGAGUAAUCAUUGGAGAUGUAGAGAUAAGCAAGACUCUUGCUUGAACCAAGUACAUGGAGUAUGUUUUGGAAUGAGACUGAGGCAAGAACCUUCUCCAGGGUUCACGGCUGGGAGACAAUACAAGACGACUGAUAGCAGCAUCGCUAAAGGUAGUUACUUUCAGCCAUAUUGGACUCAUACUUCGUCCAGGGACAGCGCAAUGCAAUUUGCAGGGGACAGCGCAAUGCAGCCACUAUACUCAACAUGGGAUUUGCAAGUUUGUGUCAGCCUGCAAAUUUGACCACUCCAUGAGCUCUUAUUCUUCACUCGCUGACAUGCCUGUUGCGCCUUAACUUCUUGGGUCUUGAUUGCUCAGCACAUUAGCUCCAUCAUCAUCCUCCUCGAGUGACCAACGCACAAAGAUUCACUCUUCGUGCUCCAUUAAACCCAAAACCACAACAAGUGGUGGCUCAAACUGUUGCUUAUGAAGUCUCUCCGUCUUCUUCUAUGACAGUCGGUGUGAGACAAUUGGAUCCUGCUGAGCCAAAAUAGGUGACCCAUCUAGCAUUGAGGUUAAAACUUGAAGCUAAAGAGACAAAAUUCAAAGGACAGAACCUCACUCUAUUCUUUAUCUCUAUUUUUCUUCUUCUUUUUUCAUUUAUCAAAUUACCAUGAACUCAGAAACAUGAAAGAUCUCCACAAACUAGACAGAUGUUUGGGACUAAGAUAGAUAGAUUGGACAACGAUUUUUAUUAUUCACAUGUAAAGAAAAGAGAAACGAAAGGGUUUGUGUAUUUAUUCUUCCUCUAGCUAGAUCAUCUUAUUUUCUAAAUCUAAGCAAUGAUUAGAAGUCUUACUCA